GAUGAACGCUAGCUACAGGCUUAACACAUGCAAGUCGAGGGGAAACGGCAUCGAAAGCUUGCUUUUGAUGGGCGUCGACCGGCGCACGGGCGAGUAACGCGUAUCCAACCUGCCCAUCACUUGGGAAUAACCUUGCGAAAGUAAGACUAAUGCCCAAUGACAUCCCACGAAGGCAUCCGAAUGGGAUUAAAGAUUUAUCGGUGAUGGAUGGGGAUGCGUCUGAUUAGCUUGUUGGCGGGGUGACGGCCCACCAAGGCAACGAUCAGUAGGGGUUCUGAGAGGAAGGUCCCCCACAUUGGAGCUGCGACACGGUCCAAACUCCUACGGGAGGCUGCAGUGAGGAAUAUUGGUCAAUGGGCGAGAGCCUGAGCCAGCCAAGUAGCGUGCAGGAUGACGGCCCUAUGGGUUGUAAACUGCUUUUAUAAGGGAAUAAAGUGGGUCACGUGUGACUUUUUGCAUGUACCUUAUGAAUAAGGACCGGCUAAUUCCGUG
rnacentral:rRNA from 1 species